rnacentral:lncRNA from 1 species
UCAUUAUGUGACCCCUUGAUAUGACCUGCAGCGAAUGAAGGACAGAUUUAUGUUUACAAUCUCGUUCUGUCAAGCGGCAUUGACAUUCAAGGUUAUGUUUCCGUCUCCGGCAAUCAAUUCUUCUCAAUCCUUCUGGUCAUGGAAGAAGGAUUACAUUUCACCACACUUCUGGUUAAUGGCUUAAGGAGACAAGAGAAAAAGCAUUCGAUACUUUAGAAAUAGCCAAUAUUCGAUUGGCACUAAUUCAUGGAUAGGAUUUUAGAGGUUUUUUUUUUUUACAAGUAAGUUUUGUGACUGAGAUGUUAGAUCGUAAAUUUUAUUAGCAUAUAAAUCCAGGGGUGUGUAUACAUUUUAAUUGAAAUUUAGAAAAAGAGUACAACUAGGGUAAAUUUUCAUACAAAUAUUUGAGUCUGCAUUAGGCAAUUUGGAGAAUUUACAUUUUCAAUCGCACCAAUCAAUAUCAUUAAUAUGUAUGAACUACAUUAUUUUAUGUACACAUAAGUUGGCUACAAAUUUUGAAUUUUGGAAUCCAUUGAGAAGCAAUAUUAGGCAUAGAUAAACGGUCACUGUAUUCUCUGAAUACUUCGUGUAUCUAAGGAACAAUACAACAAUCGUAACAAUGUGAUAAUUACUUACAAUUUCGUAAGAUUAAUAUGACUUUUAUAUAAAUAUUAACAUUUUCAUCGUAGAUUUAAUAAAUUACAAACUGUUCAACAACGACAAAAUUCGAAUCCAAAACAGCAUUAUUUACAUUUAAUCUAACAGAAUUAAUAGUUUGUGAAAAAAUAAAAAAUCCUCAAUCUCGCAUUGACCUACAAUAAAUAUAGGAGAAAAAAAAACAAGAAUGAUUUAACUAAACAGUUGUACAUCCAUGCAUGGAUAGAUUAAUUUUUUGCAGUAUAAGUAAUGUUCAACAUAUCAUUUGUUUCUUACUUUAUUCAUGUCUAGCAUGUAGAAAUCUGAAUUGCUUGUUAAACUCGUAAUGUUUUCUAACCGCACAGUGGUAUUUAAUUUGUUACUACAAAGCUAUUGUAAAUUUACCACUUAUCUAAUUCACUGCAGUUGCAUAAUUCACGGGGAAAUGGAGACGUGCAUCAAUUAUCAAGCAGUGAACCAAAUGAAUCGCAAAGCACCGAUCAUGUAGGCACGUUGCAUAUGAU